GGCAAUUUGACAAUCUUAAUUCUACCAAAGAAGGGAGUUUGUUUGCUACCAUCAGCCAAUCAAAGGCUUUGCUAAGAUUCACAGAACGCAAAUCGAGGUGUUCCAGGACAGAAAGACCAGAAAGCCACAUAAAAUUGUCAACGUAUAAUAAAUAAUUUGAACUAAGGUCAAGAAACUGCAGAUUGGAGAGAUUUCCAAGUUGUUGAGGUAUCAUUCCGCCGAUUCGAGUUCCAGAAAAAUUGAGAUACCGUAGAUUUCCCAUGGAGCCAACAAAUCUAGGAAUUUGAUCACCUUGGAAAUCAUUGAAGCUCAAGUCCAGGUAACUCAAAUGCUUUAAAUCAAGCAAAGAAGGAUUUAUCUUACCAACAAGCGCUGUCCCCCGAAUAGCGUCAUAUUCAGACUCCUUGGAAUAAUUGAAAGGAUUUCGAAGGUCGAGGUGAAGCACAUGGCCGGUCAUGUUGUCACAGACAACACCAGUCCAUGCUCAACAAUCUCCGCUGCCAGUCCAAGAAGCAAGCCUGUUAGAAGGGUCUUUAAGAUCUCGCUUGAGCCUUAAAAGUGCUCCUCUCUCACUUUCAAGGCAACCCCCGUGAUAAGAACUUCCGUUGCAGAAGCUAAUGCUAAUGGUUGCUAUGGCAAGUAUUUCAAAGAGAAAUAAGGCAAAAACAAGGACACAGCUCAUGUUCGGUUUCAUUGCUAUAUGCAGUAAUGAAGAAAAUGUGAAAGAAUGUUAUCAAUGGCAUUGCUAUUUAUAAUGAAGGGAGAUUGCAAAUUUUCCCCCUACAGUAAUCAACAUAUACCAUUUUUAUCUCUGUUGUUUUUAUAAUGGUCAAAAACCUCCUUAAUAGCAUAAGUUUAUAAUAUUACCCUUAUUUUCAACUACUUUUUUAUUUAUAUUUAUUAUAAAUUAAAUAAAUCACAUGAAUAGAAACUAAAUAAAAAAUUAAGCAUUAAAAACAAGAAAUAUAUGUUUUGAUAUGAAAAAAAAAUUAAUAAUAAAUUUUUUUAUACUUAUUUAUUUUGUGAAAAUUUUCUUAUAAUAAAUAUAUAAGAAAAUUAUUAGUAAAAUGAUAAAAAAAUUAUUAUAAGAAAACUUGAUUGACAAAUAAAAAUUUAUUAUAAAGGCGGAUGUACGGUACAGCAGAGAAAAUUAUUAGUAAAAUGAUAAAAAAAUUAUUAUAAGAAAAUUUGAACAACAAAUAAAAAUUUAUUAUAAGAUAAAUAAUAAAAUAUUUUGCCUAUACUUUUUACAUUUGAUUUUAAAAUAUUACAAAAUGUUUAUUAUAAGAAAAUGUUCACAAAAUAAAUAAUUACAAUAAAAAAUUUUAUUAUGAAUUUUUUUGCUCAUAUCAAAAUAUAUAUUUUUUGUUUUUAAUACUUAAUUUUUUUAUUUAGUUAAUAUUCAUGUAAUUUAUUUAAUUUAUAAUAAAUGUAAAUAAAAGAGUAGUUAAAAAUAAGGGUAAUAUUGUAAACUUAUGUUGUUAGGGGAGUUUUUAGCCAUUAUAAAAAUAAAAAGAGAGUAAAUGGUAUAUGUUAAUUACUGUAGGGGGAAAAGUGUCAAUCCCCCUAUAAUGAAUUGUAAUUUUUAUGAACAAUGCCAAUACACUCUUGCAGAUAACGUUAACUUUAUUUACAUCUAUUUGAUCGUGGGCCACGUAAAUAUCUUUCGCACAAUCAAUUUCAAUAAUACCCUACUUUCUACGGAAACGAUUGUAAGUUAAUUUAAUAAUGGUGGAGCUAUUUGAAUUUUGAGCCCACCAAUUUCCUUUAAAAAAUUGGCUCAGACGUUAUUAUAAAAACAAUAAUAAAAUAACAAAAUAGAUGGCCAAUAAUGGUCUGGGGGGAAAAUUGACAAUCUUUACAUGAUUAAUGGCUCCAUAUUUUUACAAUGUAAAAUUAUUGAUGUGUGUGAAAUGGUACCAUAUAGGGACAUUAACGAAAUUUUGUUGACAAGGCUGGUGUGCUCUAUCAAUCAAUCUCAAUAUAGCAAUAUCUCUCUAUAGUUAUAAUAUUAGGACCAAAUUAGUUAAUUGCAAUGAAGAGAUUAUAACUUAAUACAUGAGUAGUUACGAAAAUUAUUGUUUUAACUUAUUUAUCCUUAGUGCAAGAAUAUAGAGGUAAAGUAUGUAAUACAUUAAUAAUUUAUUAAUGGAGCAUAUCAAAUCCAAAUAUAUCAAAAAAUUAGUUCAAUGUAUCUAUGCACUAUUAUUAGGAAUAUUAAAGUCAUCUUAAAAAACUCUAAUUAUUUGCAUUCUCUUCAUUAAUUAUCUCUCAUUGUGUAGUUGUACUAUCUGGAAGUAAGUUCCUUUAAUAUAACAUAACAUAUAUUUUUACGGUACAUUAAUAAUUAUUACUAAGUGGAGGCAAGUUUCUUAAAAUGGGAUCUAAAAAUUCUUAAAAUCGGAUUAAAAAACUAUAAUUUAUUAUAAUAUGCAGUUUAUUCUUAUUUAUAACUGGCCUAAACUGAAAUCAAAAUUUUUUAUUAUUAACUAAAAAUUAAUUCUAUAUAGAGUAUUACUAUCGGGAAAUUUUGCCAUACUUAUAUCUUAUUCAGCAAAUCAACAUGCAUUUGAAUUUGAAAUUCAUAAUUUGGAAAGAAGUAACCAGAAUCUUAGUUUCCUGCAUAAUCGAAUGGGAAAAGGCCACCCACAACCGUAAGGUUUUGUUAAGUGGUCACAUAAACCCCCUUUCGUUUCAUAAAUGGUCAGAUAGACACCUUAAUUUCAUAAAUGAUUAUUAUACCCUUUGAUUAUAACAACCCGAAUUAAUAUAAAUACAAUAAUAAGAUAAAAAUAAAAAAUAUAUAUCAUAUGAUAUAAAUAAAAAAUUACAAUAAGUGUAUUUAAUAAAAUUGCCUAUAUAAUGAAUUAUCUUAAAUAUUAAGUUGUUAUUAGACUAUCCUGAUGGAAUUUAUUAAUACUAAAAUAUAUUAAUCCAAAAAUUAAUUUUAAUAUAUUAUACUGAUAGACAAUUAAAAAAGACAUAGUCAAUCGAAUAAUAUACAAUUUAUAAAUAACUAUGAAUAUUAUGUAUAGUUAUUUUAACAUUAUUAAUAUGUCAAAUAGAUUUUAUUAUUAUUAAAAGAAUAUGACAGAUUAAUGAUGUUAAAAUAACUUUUCUAAUAUUCCAAAUAAUUUAUACAUUUGAUCUUAAUUUAUACAUUAUAUUUUUUUUGCAUUUUAAUUUUUAUUUAUUAUAAAAGUUUAUUUAAAAUGAAUAUUGAAUUGUUGUAAUAAAAGUUUAUUUAAAGUGAAUAUUGAAUAGUUGUAAUCAAGGGUAUAACGGUUAAAAAAAGACUUGAUUUUAAUAUAUUAUACUGAUAGACAAUUAAAAAAGACAUAGUCAAUCGAAUAAUAUACAAUUUAUAAAUAACUAUGAAUAUUAUGUAUAGUUAUUUUAACAUUAUUAAUAUGUCAAAUAGAUUUUAUUAUUAUUAAAAGAAUAUGACAGAUUAAUGAUGUUAAAAUAACUUUUCUAAUAUUCCAAAUAAUUUAUACAUUUGAUCUUAAUUUAUACAUUAUAUUUUUCGAGAUCUAAAAUCUUUAAUUGGGAAGCAGAUUUCAAAAAUCUAAUGGGAAAAAUAUCUGAAAUUCUUGAGUUGACUAAAUCUAGAAACUGUAAAUGCCUUUGUGAAUUAAGCCAUAGAGGAAAUCGAGACCCUAUAUAACAACUAUGCAAUCCUAAUGCAACAAGUUGGAAAGGAGGAAUCCAAUCAUGGUUCACUUCCAACGUCAAUUGGUUUCCACCUACUCUGAACCAUGACAGUUCUGUCAGAUUGGCAAAGUGAAGUUCAGAAAGUGUUCCGUUUAACUUAUUAUCUUAUAUCUGUAGUUCUCUCCAGGUUGAGAGUUGACCAAAUGACUCUGGAAUAGGACCAACAAUUGAAUUAUUAGCAAGAUUAAGAGUGACGAGAUUUCUAAAUUGGCCAAGCUGAUCAGUCAAAUGACCAUAUAUUGAACUACUCCGCAUAUCUAAACUCUCUAGUCCAUUAGAAACACAUCCCGAGAAAAUAUCUAAAAUCUCAGAAAUUUCUUGGCUCACAUGGACACCCCGAAGAUUGAUUGACUUUAAAUUACAAAGACUUGCCAUGGAUCUUGGAAUUCUCCCUGCAAGACCAGUAUUUAAUGAGAGAUCGAGCCGACUGAUGGAAGUCAAGUUUCCAAGAGCCUCUGAGUCAAUUGUACCUUGCAAUUUAUUGUUGCGAAGACUAAGGUACUCAAGAUGGAUGAAUCUAUACAACCAGUUGGGAAUUGAAGAGUUGAAGUAGUUGGAAUCUAAACCCAGAUGUUUAAGGGAAGUCAGGUUUUGAAGUCCCCCAGGAAUUGGACCUUGAAAAUUAUUAAAACCUAGGUCAAGAAAGAGCAAAUGACUUAGACCAAAGACCCAACUAGGAAUGAACGAGUUAUCAAAUUGGUUGUGGGAAAGGUCAAGCACUGUGAGAGACGAAAAAUUUGCGGUGGCUAAUGGAGAGAAGUGUUGGAGUUGGCAAUUUGACAAUCUUAAUUCUACCAAAGAAGGGAGUUUGUUUGCUACCAUCAGCCAAUCAAAGGCUUUGCUAAGAUUCACAGAACGCAAAUCGAGGUGUUCCAGGACAGAAAGACCAGAGAGCCACAAAAUAUUGUCAACGUACAAUAAAUAAUUUGAACUAAGGUCAAGAAACUGCAGAUUGGAGAGAUUUCCAAGUUGUUGAGGUAUCAUUCCGCCGAUUCGAGUUCCAGAAAAAUUGAGAUACCGUAGAUUUCCCAUGGAACCAACAAAUCUAGGAAUUCGAUCACCUUGGAAAUCAUUGAAGCUCAAGUCCAG
rnacentral:lncRNA from 1 species